GUGGCUGAGUGGUAAAGCGCUUGGCUUCCAAACCAGAGAUCCUGGGUUCGAAUCUUGGC
rnacentral:tRNA from 1 species